CCCUUAGAUGUUCUGGGCCGCACGCGCGCUACACUGAUGGCGGCAGCGAGUCCUUCCUGGACCGACAGGUCUGGGUACACUUGUGAAACGCCAUCGUGCUAGGGAUAGAGCAUUGCAAUCUUGCUCUUGAACGAGGAAUCCCUAGUAAGCGCAAGUCAUCAGCUUGCGUUGAUUACGUCCCUGCCAAUUGUACACACCGCCCGUCGCUACUACCGAUUGAAUGGCUUAGUGAGAUCUCCGGAUCGGCGCCAUGGUGUCUGCCGUGGUGCUGAGAAGCUGCUCAAACUUGGUCAUUUAGAGGAAGUAAAAGUCGUAACA
rnacentral:rRNA from 1 species